CCCCUACCUGUCACUCUUAACCUUUUGACUCUCACCAGACAGUCAAAUACUCUUUUUCCCCCUUAGAUUUUGUUUCCAGACUGGGUUUCUCAGUGUAGCACUGGCUGUCUUAGAACUUGCUUUGUAAUUUGUUUGGGGGGAGAUUCAAAACAGGCUUUUUCUUUGUGGUCCUCAUUGUCCUGGAACUCAGUAUGUAAACCAGGCUGGGUUGGAGCUCACAGAAACUGGCCUGCCUUUACCUCCUGGGUGCUGGGAUUAAAGGUGCGGGCCAUCCCAGACCAUGUCUUUUGUUUUUAUUUUUAAAUUUUGUAUGUCUUGUGUGUAGGUAGGUAUUCUGCCCAUAAAUAUGCCUGUGACAUUGUAUAUGUGCAGUGUCCAGGAAGUCAGAAGAGAGGGCAUCUGGUUCCCUGGGACUGGAGUUGCUCUGUGAGUGCUCAAACUAAAAAGACUUCAGUGCUCUUAGCCACUGAGCCAUAUGGCCAACCCCACCCUAGUUUUUGUUUUUGUUUUUAAAUGAGAUCUCACCAGGAUAUGGGGUUUCCGACUAGCCUGGACUGGCUGAUGAGCCCCAGGGAUUCACCACCUCAAUGCUGGCAUGACAGUACAUGCCACCAUGCUCAGCUUUUUAUUUGGGUGCUGGGAAUGGAGAGUCCUCGUGCUCUCAGGACAAGCACCUGGCCGGGUUUUUGGUUUGGUUUUAGGAUUUUAUUUGAGUCAGGCUCUUAAUGUAUAAUAACUAUGGCUGGUCUGGCACUUGCUGUGUAGCCCAGGCUGGCUUUGAACUUAAAGUUGCCUCUUGACUAAGCUUCCCUAGUGUUGAAAUUAUUAUUUUUGUUAGUUUUCAGAAAUGUCUUCCUCAGUAGCCUAGGCUGACCCCAAACUGCUGCUUCACUUGGGCUUUUUCCCUCCAGGAUUUGAGGUGUGCAGCACUAUCCUUGUCCUAUGUAUGUCACCGCUCUAGAGGUGGGACCUGGGAGGAUGGAGCCAAUAAAAGAGGCCAACUCAACUCUCAGGCAGCAGCCAACUUUAUUUGGACCUCAAGACAAGCUCAGAACCAACGAGGUUAAGAAAGCUCACCCGAGUCAAGUUCUCAUGAGUUCUAGCUGCAUACAGUCACAAGAACAAGCCACACACUGCAUAAGUGUUUCUCCAGAAUCAUAUAAAGGAUAGUUUAAACAUUGAACUGAAUAAUGGCAGCAAACAAUAAUGAAUAAUCUGAAGUAAAUUCACUAUCUUACACCUGGGUAGAGCAUGAAACUAUUUUCCAAGAACAAUUCCAAGUUUUAAAGAAACUUGAAGUCACAGGCACUCAGAAUUCUCAUCAGACUCCAUACCUGGGCCAUGUUCCAGCAUAUGUAGGCAUACACUUUAAUUUCGUAAGUAUAUACCUAGGAUAGAAUGGCUGGGUCAAAUGAUAGCCUUUGUUUAAACUACUAAGGGUCUGCCAUAAUGGUUUAUAAAGCAGUUGGUGGCAUAUUACUUUCUCACGUCAAUGAGGGUCCUGGUUUCUCUACUUACUUUUGACUUAUAGCUCUCCUCAGGAGUGUGGUCUGGUGUCUUAUUGUGACUUUGGUUUGUAUUUCUCUAAUGGAUGUUAGAUUUAAUUAAACACUGCUUAUAGGUCUUUUUUUUUUUUUUUAAUACAAGAAUUGUGUAGCU
ensembl:lncRNA